rnacentral:lncRNA from 1 species
UAACAUGUUUUUCAAAAUUGGAUCACAUUAUGAUGCAAAAUAAUUAAAGAAAUAUUGACCAUGUUGUACAUGUGAUUUUAAUUAUGAGUUUUAUCAAGAAUGAAGAUGGAGGGUGGGGAUUUCACAUAGAAGGACAUAGCACCAUGUUUGGCACUACAUUCAACUACAUAUGUAUGCGCAUUCUUGGAGAAGGGCCUAAUGGAGGUCAAGACAAUGCUUGUGCUAGAGCACGCAAGUGGAUUCAUGAUCAUGGUGGUGCGACAUAUGUACCUUCUUGGGGGAAAACUUGGCUUUCGGUAUAUAUGCUUCUUUUAAAAUUUUAAAAAUAUUCACUUAGUUUUAUUAACAAAUAGUAGUAGGUAGCAAUAAUAAUAUAAUUUUUUUAUAUACAUAGAAGAAAACCUUUUAAUUUCCAAAGGCUGGAAUAAUUUAUUGAAAGAUUAUAAUUAAAUUAAUCUUGAGCACAUAACAUAAUUAUUCAUGCAAAUUUUUUCUUAUACUUUUUCAUGUCUCUAUAGGUAUAUGUAUAUUAUAUAUAUAAUAUAUUAAAAUGAAUAAUGACUCUUGCAACGACAGGUACUGGGAUUAUUGGAAUGGCGUGGAACCAACCCAAUGCCUCCUGAGUUUUGGGGGUUUCCUUCUAUUUUUCCUAUGCAUCCAGGUUGUUUAUGAUAAUUAAUAGUGCUAUACUAUUAUUCUUUUCUUUAAUUAAACAACACUAGAUUAUUACACCCUAUAGUAAAUUGAAUGUGCUUAUUAAAAAAAAUCGAUAGUUAAAACUAUCCAAUGCUUGAAUUAAGCUUAUUUAUACUAACUGACUCACUUUAAAAGGUGAAAUAAGGCAAUUAAUUUAUAAAUUAUUUUUAAAGCACAUUUGAGUUAAUUAUGUAUGUGUAAGUAUAUAAUUACAAUUUUAAUUAUUGAUUUCUCAAUCGAUAAUUAUGAUAAUUUAUUUUAUUUUUAAAAUAAUUUUUUCACUUUAAAUAAGUCAAAUAUGUGAGUGACUUUUCCAAUGAAUGUGUACUUGGUACUUGGUAGUGAACUAUGAGGUUGAGUUGGUCGUGACCCAAUCCAAAGCACAAAUAUAUAAACUCAAAAGAACACAUUAUUUUUUUUUAAGAAAAAAUAUCAUUAAAAAUUUAUCAUAUAUUAAAUUUCUUUAAAAAAAGAUAUAUUGACCUGUUAUAGCAGGUUUAAAAAAGUGGUCUAAUUUUAGACCACUUUAAAAGUGGUCCACAUUAGGGGUCACCCAAAAGUUAAGACUUUGAAGCUUCUCCAUAUAUAUAUAAAAGUGAUUAUGAACAAACGGAGGUACCUUAGGGAUGGGUGGGGCACUUGACCCCACCACAAUUUGACUUUUCUCACAUACAAUAGUACUAACAUUAAAUAUAAUAUAUUUAUUUGCCCCCACCACAAAAUAUGUGCCCCGUAACCGACACUUUAAGGUUGUUGGACAAGUAUUAAGAAAUAUCAAUUAAUGUUCUUGUUUUAUUAAAAUUACAAUCUAACUUCCUACUAUACCCUUUAUCUCUCAUAUUAAUUCUAAUUUUUCAACUUUUCUACCACCAAUAAAUGAAGGGUACAAUUGGUAAAGUAUAAUUAAUGCUCUCUUGAACUUUGUAAAGUGGCAGAUAAUUAGGAACAAAAUUUAGCUAGAAAUAGUGUCAGUUAUUUAGGAAUGGAGGGAGUAAAAAUUUACCAUCAAUGCCACUAAAAGCUAAACUUCAUCAGAUGUACUUUUGUUGAGAUUGUGUGUUACACACACUUUUAGAAAAUCAGAAGCUUCAAGAAGCUCUUUAGCUGUGCAUUUUUUUUUUCCUGGAUCUGUGAGUUAGAGCAGAGGAUCAUUUUCAAGAAGCUCUAUAUCUAAUUUGGUUAGUCUUCACUCUUCAAUUUUAUCUUACUCCUUGUCUGUGUAGAUGUGUUACGUGUUGCCUUAUGCCCUUAUUCACUUAGUUUUCACUCUCUUAGCAUUGCCAUAUGUGUUUGCUUGUCCAUGUGUGCUGCUGUGCGUUCCUCAUUUGCUUCAACCUUGUGAUUUUGUCAUUCUAUAAUCUGAUCAUAUAUUCAUGUUAGCAUUUAUAGUCAUUGAAAAGAUAAAAUGAAAAAAAAAUGGGGUCAGUAGAUCUACAAAUUUAUUUGUGUAUGUUGCCCCCACGACUUAAAACUCCUGGAUCCGUCCCUGAUUAUGAUGUUUCUAACCACGAAACCAAACACGUUACAUGUGUAUCAUAUUUAUUGUUUUAUUAUGUCAUUCUCAUCUUAAUUAAUUAAUGCAGAUAAAAUGUGGCUUUACUGUCGAUUGGUUUACAUGCCUAUGUCAUACUUAUAUGGGAAGAGGUUUGUGGGUCCAAUCACACCACUCAUUCUUCAACUGAGAGAUGAACUCUAUACUCAACCUUACCAUAAAAUUAAUUGGAAGAAAACACGUCACUCAUGUGCAAAGGUGAAAGAAUGGACCAAUCUAUACAUAUCUAUUCUAUGAUCAUGAAUGAAUUGUUUGUCCUAUAUAUAUCGCAGGAAGAUCUUUAUUAUCCUCAUCACUUUUUGCAAGAUAUGAUGUGGGAUAGUGUAUACAUAUUUGGGGAGCCACUUCUCACACGUUGGCCUUUGAAUAAGCUAAUAAGGAAAAAGGCUCUUCAAAUAACAAUGAAGCGUAUCCAAUAUGAAGAUGAGAAUGGUAGAUAUAUAGACAAUGGAUGUGUGGAAAAGGUCGGUAUUAUAUCACCUUUCAUUACAUAGCUAGCUAGCUAUAUGCAUAAACUAUAUAGUAAAAUUACACAAACUAAAGUAAAACUAAGGCAUGCAUGUUUGAUUAUUUUUCAUUUGCAAGAAAUGAUUUUUCUUAAAAGUAAAAUAUUUUUUUGAAUUAAAAUGUGAUGAGAUACAAGUCAUUUUGAUAAAUGAUAAAACCAACUAAAAGAGAUAAAUCCGAAAAGAAUCUCCGCCCUUGCAGAAAUAAUUUUCAAAACAUGUAUUUUCAAAAAUAAGAAGAUGGGUUGAGUGAGACGUUUUAUAAAAUUGAAACUAGAAAGACAUGUGAUUUGAAAAUAAAAUAAAAUAGAACCAGAAAAAUAUCUAAAAUAUUUUGGAAUUCGAUUUUGUUUUAAAAAUAAGACUUGUUUUUAAAAAUAAUUUAUCUUAAACUAGUUUUCUAUUUUUUCCGUCUUUAAAAACCAAAAUUAUUUUACAAAAUGAUAAUCAAACAAGUACGUUUAGUUAUGAACUUUUAAAGUUCAUUAACGUUUUGUAAUACGUUUAUAUAAGCCAGGCUUUAUUUAUGCUUGCUCGUUGGGUGGAAGAGCCAAAUGGAGAUGCUUUCAAGAAGCAUCUUGCAAGGAUUCCAGAUUACUUAUGGCUUUCAGAGGAUGGAAUGACCAUGCAGGUUUGGCCUCUCCCUCUCUAUCUCCUAGCGGGGUCGAGAUUCUCUGCCCAAAAUGAUGUGUAAUGUGUUGUGUGUGAUGCUUUUUAAAAAAAAAUAUGUUAGCGAUAUAUAUAAAUGAUGCACUUUAUCAUAAUACAGAGUGUUGGUAGCCAAUCAUGGGAUGCUGGAUUGAUAGUUCAAGCUUUGCUGGCCACAAAUCUUACAAAUGAAAUUGCUCCUACACUUCUUAAAGGGCAUGAUUUCAUCAAGAAAUCUCAGGUGAUGUUAGUUUGUUGGUUUAGAUAUUUUUUUUUUCUUUGACAUAUAUUCCCAUCUGUUCGAGACAGUGGUAAUUAUCAAUCUGAAUAAAUGAUUUUCUCGCGGCGAACUUGUGAGGGUCUAGCUAGCUUGCUUUAACUAGACCAAACAUUUUGUAUGAAAGCUAGAUGUUUUCUAUUAUAUAUAUAUAUGUUAGUAGUCAAAUGAAUUCUGCAUCAUAUUUGUUUGCUAAUUAAUUACAAUAAUGAAUGACAUUUUUUUUUCACAGGUCAAGGAUAACCCUUCAGGAGAUUUUAAAAGUAUGUCCCGUCACAUUUCUAAAGGAUCAUGGACCUUCUCUGAUCAGGACAAUGGAUGGCAAGUUUCUGAUUGUACUGCAGAGAAUUUGAAGGUAAUUAACUACCUAACUAAUUUGAUAUAUGAGCUUUGUUUUAGUCAUGUGUUAAGACUACACAAAUCAAAUUAAAUUUUGUUUCAGUGUUGUCUAUUGUUAUCAAUGUUACCAUCAGAGCUAGUUGGUGAAAAGAUGGAUGAUGAAAGAUUAUUUGAUUCAAUCAAUAUUAUUUUGUCACUUCAGGUGAGUAUUAUUGAAUUUACAUCCUAGUAAUUUUUCUUCUUUUUUACUAUAAAUUCCAAUGGGCCUUUGUACUUACUUAAUUUUGGUUUCUAUAUGUUAAAAUGAUCAUUUCAAAAAAAAAUGUUAAAAUGAUAGCUCAAAGCAUUUGAUUUUUGAUCUACUUGUACAAGAUUUGCUUUUUGAAUAUAAUCUUUCAACUCAUGUAGAGUAAAAAUGGUGGCUUCUCAGGGUGGGAGCCAGCAGGAGCUCCAGAAUGGUUGGAGGUAUCUUUCAACUCUUGUUUAUAUAACUUCCUAAUAUAUCAGUUAUUUCUUCAAUUAAUUUUGCCUUGUCUAUUUUUCUAUAAAACAUAAACUUAAAGGCAUAGUUGAUAAAACAUAAUUAAAAUUCCCUUGAAUUUUUAAAAACGAUAGAUACAGAGGAUCAAACAAUUUUUCAAAAUUGUGGUAUAUAUAAAGGAACAGAGAAAUGAAAUAGUAAGGGAGAUUAGUGGUGAACAUGUAUGAAUGAAUAAAUAUAAUUUACAACUAUUAUUAUAAGCUAUUCUUCUCACACUUGAUGAUAAUAUGAUCCUUAUUUGUUUAAUUCAUGGAAUGCAAGUGGGCAUUACCUUAUUGAGCUUCAAUGUCAAAUGAUUUCAGAUACUAAAUCCCUCAGAAAGUUUUGAGGACAUUGUGGUAGAACAUGAAUAUGUUGAAAAUACUGGAUCAGCAAUUGAAGCAUUAGUUUUGUUUAAGAAACUCUACCCAGAGCACAGGUUGAAUGAAAUAGAGAGUUCAAUUGACAAUGCAGUUAGAUUCAUUGAGGAUACACAAACUAGUAGUGGGUCAUGGUAUGGAAAUUGGGGUGUUUGCUUCAUUUAUGGGACCUAUUUUGCUCUUGGUGGGCUUGCAGCAGUUGGAAAGACUUUCUCCAAUUGCAGUGCUAUUCCCAAAGCAGUGAACUUUUUACUCACAACACAAAGAGAGAAUGGUGGUUGGGGUGAAAGCUAUCAAUCAUGCCCAAGAAAGGUUUGUUAAUUAUUAUUAUCAAUAUUUCUGUAUCCUUAAAUGGUGUCUCAUUUCUCAUUCUCAGUAGUACAAUUUUGUCAUUUUAAUUCAAAACACCCACGUUAGUUUUUAACCGGCUCACUCUCACGCAUUCUUUACUUGUUGUGACAAAAUUUUACUAGUGGGAGAGGAAAGUGAGAUACAAAUUAAAGUGAAACAAAAGAUUUUCAUCCUUGUUAUCAAAUGAUUGCAAAUUAGCUAGCCUUACUUAUAAUUAAUAUAUCUUAUAGUUAAUAGAUCUUAUAGUGAUUAAUCAUAAUGACUUGGAUAAUGCAGAGAUACAUACCCCUUGAAGGAAUUCAGUCAAAUGUUGUACAGACAGCAUGGGCUUUGAUGGCUCUAAUUCAUUCUGGCCAGGUUUAGUUUGGGCUUUUUGCAAUUGUAAAAUAUGGACACACAUGAUUGUUAACAUUCUCUUGCUUUUUAUUUAGACAAUUCUACCAUACUUUCUUAUUUUUUGCUAUGAAUUAGAUUAUAAAAAUUAAGACACGAGUUAGAUUGUAAAACAAAAUUGGAUUAAAAGGUUAAUAAGUAAAAUAAAAGGUUUGCGCAAAAUAUAUAAUUGAACUCUCUUGCUAGGAAUUGGAUUAGCUAGGUACUUGUAACUGGGUAAGGGUGAAAUACAGGAUAAAGCACUACUCUGCUCUCUUGAUGGAGUAAAAUAUUUAGACGGAUAAGAUUACACCCAACAAAUUAACAACAAAAUAAUGGAGAUGUACAGCUAUCAUAGAGAAAAAAGCACACGAUAUGAAACAAAUAUAAAUUUGAUAAAAUAUAUUAUUUGUUCAAAAAAUUAAUAACUAAAGGAGUUUUGAAAAAUUCAAUUCACUUUAGAGGAACUAGUAGAAGUUAUAUACAUAUAUAUAUAUAUGAAUGUAAACAAAAGAAUCACAAACUAAUAACAUGUUUAGUUGUUACUUUUGUGGUGAGAAGUUCCACAAUUAGCUAAGCUAUAAAAUAUAACUCUUGAUGCUAUCAUGUUUUGGAUUGUGUGCCACACCACCCAUCCAAACACAACAUAUUUUGGGUUCAAAUUUUAUCACAUUGACUUUAUAAUCACAAUUCUUAGAAAAUGUUAAAUAAAUGAAUUCUUGUUUUGUAAUAAUUCAUAUAUACAGGAGGAAAGAGAUCCGACUCCACUUCAUCAUGCCGCAAAGUUUCUCAUCAACUCCCAACUUGAAGAUGGUGAUUGGCCUCAACAGGUACCUAUAUCAAGCUUUUUAUGCUACUAUUUGUAAGGUUCCUAUAUACUAAUCAGGAUUUCAAAUUGUGGUCGUGGCCGCAUCACAAAACUGUACAUGUGAGUUGAUACGGUCACAAUUACAUUUACAAUGUUAUUGGGGGACUCUAAAACUUUUAAUUUUGCAGACGACACAUUUGAGAUUACAAACCACAAUUCAAAAUUGACUACUAAUUUAGGACAUAAUACAAGCAAACAUUCAUUCACACCAACUUAUAGUAAUUUUCUUUUGUCAAGAUUACAACAUUAUUGAUUUCAAAUGUUAGCUUUCUAAAAACAUUACAAUUGGCCUAUGAUUAAUUAUUUUCGUAUCUAACAGGAAAAUGCAAUAGUUUUGGAGUUAAGGAUUUCUUUGACAUGCAAUUUACAAGUUUUGUUUUAUGUUCAAUGUAUGGCAGGAAAGCACUGGAGUGUUCUGUAGGAACUGCAUCAUGCAUUAUCCAAUGUACAGAAACAUCUUUCCGAUGUGGGCUCUAGCUGAAUAUCGCAAGCGAGCUGGAUUACCUUCACUUAAAGCCUAAUUAUCUUAAAAGCAAUAAGCAUUUGGAACAGAAGAAUAUAGAGAAAAUCAAACAGAAUAUAAGUGUUAUAUACAUAUGGAGUCACCUAUCGCGUUUGUAAAAAGUUUAUUUAUAUUUACCUUUAUAACAUAAACGUUUAUUAUACGAUGUGCUUGUAUAUAUUAUACGUACGUGAGUUUCAAUUCAAAAUAAAAAUAAAAAUAAUUCUAUUAGAAUAUAAUAAUAUAAAAUCAUAUUAUUCACAUGUCAAAGAGUUAGAUCCCUGCCGCCCCCAAUUCUUCUAAUAAAAAAAGUUCAAUUUCAGCAUAUGGUAGGUGAGCAUUUGCAUUGUCCACGCUUCAAGCCCAAAGAACUAACAAGAGAAUGAGUUCAGAAUAACCUGGGUUGAAGCACACGAACAAUGUUGUCCUUAGAGAGAAAAGACCCACUCCACUGUUGGAUUGAAAUUUGAUGCAUUCUUCUCCUAAGACACGUCAACCCGUGGAGUCGGAGCUUUGUUAUGUAUUUUCUCUAUCAAACGUGAGGUAAAAAUAAAGAAAGUGUGGUGAGAGUGGAGAUAUUUUGUAUAAGAGCUAUAAAACAAAAUUGAAUCUAGAAUAAAAAAUCUGCAAUAUUAAUUAUUAAGGAAAUAGAAACAAAUCCUUUCAUAAAAGUAGGAUAGAGAUUUUGAAGUCAAAACCAUCUCAAAAAGAUAAAUAGCUUAAGAAUAAAAUAUCAUAAACAUAAAAUAGGAUUUUAAAUUAAAUUAAAGAUAAUUUUUCCAACACUCUUGCGUGAUGGAUGUGUCAGAAUAACCAUUACCUAAUAGCUUAAACUUUUGGAGUAAGUGCUUACUUGACAUAGUAUCAAAGUCUCUAUAAUUAAGCGGUCUAAAAUUCAAUCCAUGUCGUCUUCAAUUCUUCUAAAAUAAAGAAUAAAUUUAAUUUAAACAUAUGGCAUGUGGACCUAUGUAUUGUCCUUACUUCAAACCAAAAGGGCUCUUUGUGUGUGGGGAUGUAUAAUGUAUUAGAAUAUAAUAAUAUAAAACAAUUUUCUUUUAUCCACACGAUUUGUGUCGGUUGCGGAUUUUUAAGUGUGUGGGGCAUUGCAGAAUUGAAAUUAGUCUGUAUCUAGGACUGCUCGGUGUUUUCCUAGUUCAGCAUAAAUUUCGUUGCUAGAUACAUGGCCAAUCCAACACUAAGUGUAGCCUAAAGUAAAUUAUAUGAGUUUUUUUUACCUAAAAUAAUAUUUAGUAAAAAAGAAAAUCCGGAGCAUUUUUAACUUAGUAAAAAAAAUUGGGUCUUUUUUAUUUAAUAAAAAUUUUAUUUAAGCCUAAAGCCCUUAUUUGGUGACUUUACCUUUGGGCCAGCCGACCCUACUCAGGUAUUGAACGUUUGGCUGUGACAUGCUUUGUUGCUAUGUCGAUCAAGUUUAUUAAGGGUGGAAGGUUUGUGGUGUGUAGUUAGGGAUGGCAAUUUUGCCCAAACCCAUGGGUACCCGCCCGAACCCGAUCCGAUUUGACGGACAAAAUCCGAGUCGACUGGNNNNNNNNNNNNNNNNNNNNNNNNNNNNNNNNNNNNNNNNNNNNNNNNNNNNNNNNNNNNNNNNNNNNNNNNNNNNNNNNNNNNNNNNNNNNNNNNNNNNNNNNNNNNNNNNNNNNNNNNNNNNNNNNNNNNNNNNNNNNNNNNNNNNNNNNNNNNNNNNNNNNNNNNNNNNNNNNNNNNNNNNNNNNNNNNNNNNNNNNNNNNNNNNNNNNNNNNNNNNNNNNNNNNNNNNNNNNNNNNNNNNNNNNNNNNNNNNNNNNNNNNNNNNNNNNNNNNNNNNNNNNNNNNNNNNNNNNNNNNNNNNNNNNNNNNNNNNNNNNNNNNNNNNNNNNNNNNNNNNNNNNNNNNNNNNNNNNNNNNNNNNNNNNNNNNNNNNNNNNNNNNNNNNNNNNNNNNNNNNNNNNNNNNNNNNNNNNNNNNNNNNNNNNNNNNNNNNNNNNNNNNNNNNNNNNNNNNNNNNNNNNNNNNNNNNNNNNNNNNNNNNNNNNNNNNNNNNNNNNNNNNNNNNNNNNNNNNNNNNNNNNNNNNNNNNNNNNNNNNNNNNNNNNNNNNNNNNNNNNNNNNNNNNNNNNNNNNNNNNNNNNNNNNNNNNNNNNNNNNNNNNNNNNNNNNNNNNNNNNNNNNNNNNNNNNNNNNNNNNNNNNNNNNNNNNNNNNNNNNNNNNNNNNNNNNNNNNNNNNNNNNNNNNNNNNNNNNNNNNNNNNNNNNNNNNNNNNNNNNNNNNNNNNNNNNNNNNNNNNNNNNNNNNNNNNNNNNNNNNNNNNNNNNNNNNNNNNNNNNNNNNNNNNNNNNNNNNNNNNNNNNNNNNNNNNNNNNNAUCGUGAAGGAUACGGCGUUAGAGGCGAAGUAGCUGGAGGAGCAGGCGAGAAACCCAUCAUCUUCAUCUUUCAGAUCGGGGGGUGGGGGUUGAUUUGCGGUUGUGGGUUGCGGUGGGGAUGGGGUGAGGUUGGUGUGGUUUGCUGGUGUGAGUUCGGUAGAGGUGGUUCUCGGCUGCGCACAUUCCAGAUCUGAAAUCCAAACAGAGCAAGGAGAAAACAAAGUAGCAGACCCAAACCCAAAGCAAGGAAGAAAGCAAACCACCACCACCUCCCCUUCCCAAAAUCGGUGCUUCAGAAUGACUAACAACGACAGAAAAUCGGGGCUUGAGAAAGAGAUUGUGGUGGUGCGAGGUAUUUGCGGCUGAGUCGUGGUUUCCCAGGAUUCAACGUGUUUCUGUUGUGCUAUUUUGUUCAUCUAUUCAUACCCAUAAACCAGAUCUUCAUCUUUAGUUGUGUUUCAAAAUUUCUGAUUUGAUUUUGAUUGUAGUAAGUUUUAAUGGCUUAAUUUCUCAUUUUGGUAAAUAAAAAAAAACUUAUGUGGAUCUGGUGGAUUUGGGAAAAAAAUCAAAACUUUGAAUUAAUUGAAUGAGGGUGUUGGGGUAAGUUUAAAAUUAAGGAUAAAUGUUUUUUUUGGGGGUUGUUAAUUUCUGGCUGGGUAUGAUGUUUUUUGUUAUUAUUAGAUUAAGUUAUUAUUUAGGUAAUUAUUUAGUUAACGGAUUUUAUUUAAAUUAAGGAUUUAUUAAGUUUUUAAAUUUUUUUCUACUUAAAUAAAUGAGUUGGAAUAAAAAAAAUAAAGUUUUAUAAUUUUAUAAUUAAAAAAUAAUUAUAAAAGCCACGUGUAAUUGAUGACUAUGACAAAAUUGAGGUCUGAUAGCAUUUGGCCUUAAUUGAAUUAAAAAAAAUUCUUAGUGGGCCCAAUUUAAUGCGAAAAUUUUCCAGGCCCUGAAACUGAUUCCCUUUACAAAUUCAGGGGCCUUCUUAUGUAUUAAACCUAAAAAGAAAUACUUAAAAUUAUAAUAAAAAUAUACAAGCCCUCAGUUUUAUAAAAAAAAAAAUUAGUAAACCACGUUACAGUAAAAACACCCAUGAAAAACCGCCACAAAAUUGUGAAACUGCCAGCAAAUGCAUUUUUUUCAAGGUUGCAACUUUGUGGCAGUCUUAAACCGCCACAAAAAUCGGUGUUUGUACACCUUUUGGUGGUCUAGGAAUCACCACUGGUUUUACAAAUGUAAGUAUUCGAAUGAUAAUUCAAGUGGUAAGAGCUAGAGAAUAUAUAAGUUGCGUGGGAGUGGUCCAAAGAACAAUCCCUGAAGAGUGCAGUUUAAUGCAUUGGUUUAAAAAAAAGUUAUACAAUCUUCUAUACUUACCAUGGACGCUUGGUGUUGCGGGGUUUGUUUGGCUUUGACGACACUCAUUUCUGCUCCCUUUGCUUAUGGUCAGGUGAGGCACGUAGAUUUGGGUCGUUGUGAGCCAAUCAUUGUCUCUUAUUCGGUGUGCGUCUUGUUGGUUUUGAUUUGUUUGCCACUCCUCGCUACUGCAUUUCCUUCAAGCGCUCUUUGAAGCUACUUUUGGUUUGGUGGUUCUUCUUUUGGGAUUUUUAGUUGCACUUGUCACUGUGGUUCGUGCUUUGAAGAUGUAUGUGGAUUUCGAUUUGGUUGAUCUUCUCACGCUUAGGUGUUAGGUGUUGUUAGGGGUUGUUGUGUUAGGCGCUAUAGCUUGUGGGGUUUGCAAUCGAGGUGUUUUGAAUCUUUUAUGCUUGCUUUGGUUUUUGCCGACUUGCUUUGUUUGGUUACUGUAUCCAUGUUGAGAUGAGUGUUUCUCAACACUAUCUUUCAAUAUAUUUUACUUUAAAAAAUAUAUAUAUAUUCAACUAUCUCUUUAAAAAUAAGAACCAGUUAUUAUAUAAGUAACUUUAUUUUAUGAGUUCCUAGCAUAACAAACAUGUUUUAUCUCUUAUCCAAAUUGCUUUAUUACUUUAUGAGUACGAAAAUUUUCAUUGUAAACUACUCCAUUGUAACUUGACUACCUUUGUUUUUCUAUUAGGCACGAGGGCUCCCCGACGAGAGCGCACGAGAACGUACAAUUUGUUUCUUUUUUAUAUUUUCUUAAAUAACAAAAAUCAAUAUAAAACUGAAUUGGCUUUGACAUCCUGAGAUUCAAAAGCUUCUUUAUCUCUUUUAAUCUCUUCUGUAAAUGCCAUCGAUUUCUCAAUUUUUCCUUGAUUUUUCCAAUAAAAUCACCUAGCUGCAAUUUCCUUUGAAAUUAUAUCAAGAAAAACAAAGGCAAUCAAGUUCUUUAGCUUUGAGCUAUGAAAGUAAAGAGUGUAAAAAGUUAUUUUUAUAGAUUUAGAAUCGUCUGUAUCACUUAGGGUCGUGUACAGACAUUUUGGUGCUUAAGGCAAAAAUGUUAAAAUGCCUUUCCUUUUGAUAAGUAUCUUGAUUGAAAUAAUGAAUAUUGGUGUUGUUGGUAUUAUGUAUAGGUGAUUGUACUAUCACGUUUUCACAUAUUAAACUUGCUUCUACAUCAUUUUAAAACAAUCUUAUCAAAAGCGUCACGUUGAGAUUCAAUUAGUUUUUCAAUUUUUUUCUUCAAUUUUUCAAAACCAAGUUCGUACUUUUUUAUUUGGCAUUUUCUCUUAUAAAGAGUAGGAAUAAAAAAUAUAAAUAAAAUAAUGAAGAAAUAUGAACAAAAUAAUACUGUAAAAAUAAAAAAGUAUGAACUAUAGAACCUGGAACGCAAGGAAUGAAAUGGUGAGAGAUUUUGCAACACUUUGAUAUCAAAUAUCUCCUUUGAUUAUACAUUUCAAGGUAAAAACAAUGAAAACAAAUUGAGAGAAGAAACAAUGAUUAAAGAGACAACUUAUACAAUACUAAAAAUAUAUAAUUCAUAAAAAAAAUUAACUAACAAUUGUGAGUAAAUACAAAUGAACUUUUCAAUUUUGGGAAUGUAAAAGUAGUGAAUAUUUUAUUUAUUAGUUUUUUGGAAAAUCUAAAUUUGUUGCUACAAAAUAUUAGUACUAAUAACUGUUAAAGUUGCAUUUCCCGCAUUUCUCAGUUCCCACGAUUAAUGUUUUAUUAUUAUUUAAUUAUCUCUGUCAAGUCUCAGUAGUAUAUACUAUAUAUAUACUAUUUUUUUUGUAGGGGGCCUUAGACAUUAGACAAUAACCUUGAUGGCCUUGUCUGCUCCAUGCUCCACGACCCUAGUAUCACCCAGUUGUAGAAGAAGAAAAGAUCUUUGAAACCAAAAUUGAUUUGUUUAACUACCUCAUGAAAGAUUAAUACCAGUGUUGUUUGGCUCUGAGAAGGUAAAAGAGCUUGAUGGGUUGAGGAUGGGGCAGAGCCUAUCGGGAGGUCCACAAAGGAGGUUGAUGGCGGAGGUCGGCAGUGGCGGAGCUUGACCAAAAAAUUAGGAGGAGCUAAAAUAAAUUUUUUAACACAUAAGCUAAUUUUUAUAAGCUCAAAUGUAUUCAAUUCAGUACAAGGGUGUUUAAACCUACAUGCAACAAAUUUCAAUGGCUCUAGUUCAAAGAAAUCUUACUAAACACACACCUACAACAAACCCCUCAACUAGCAGUAAAUGCAUCAGAAGAUAUGGUUCCCACAAGGAUUAUCUUAGCUGGCCGUAAAACAUCUCUUGAGAUCAAUAAUGAAAUUUGGUGAGGCAUUGCAUCAGAAGAUAUGGUUCCCACAAGGAUUAUCUUAGCUGGCCGAAAAACAUCUCCUGAGAUCAAUAAUGAAAUUUGGUGAGGAUCUCUUCUCAAAUUUAACCUGCACCAUGCCAAUCACCAUGCCAAUAAGGUUCCUUUCAAGAGUUGCAGUAUAAACAUUACAUUAGUAAUUCAAGAAAAUGUGGUUAAAAAAAGCUUUGAGUUUGAGAGCUGCACCCAAAGAAUAUUGAUGUCAGAGCAAGAAAAAGAUUAAAAGAAAAAUGAAGAUAAAAAGGUUGUGUUAGAGUUAGAAACCUGGAGUUUUGCACAAGAGGGUGAAAGUUUGGAAGCAAAGUUACUUUACUUUCUAAUAUUUAUCAUUAUUAUAAUAUAUCUAUAUGAGAAAAUUGGUUUGACAGUGAGAAUUGUGAUGUGAGAAGCUUCAAAUUUUUGUUUUAUAUGUCUGGCCCACUCCAUUUACACACAUAAUAUAAUAGUAUUACUACUAGUACUCAAAAUUUUUUUGGAGACAAUGGGGGAGCCGAGGCUCCUCCCAGUCACUUAAAUGCUCCGCCACUGGAGGUCGGCGUUCAUUGAGCAGUAAAAAGGUGAAGCGGCUCCGUUGAUGAUGGGAGAAGGAGAGAGAAUGAAUUAGGUUGGAAAUGAUAAUUUUGCCUUUGUCUUCAUUUUAUCUCGGUCUUUAACAUAAAAUAUUUUAGGAGGGUCGUACAUCUUCGGACUAUUUCCUUAUCUAUAUAAUUUUACUUUUCAAAGAAAAAAAAUAUUUAAAAAAAAAGUAGUGAAGCACGUCACUCAUGCAUCUCGUGCUUGGAAAUUUUCGUACCAUAUUGCGGUGCUGAUCAAGUUAAUAUCAAGGUACUAUUACAUUAAUAUGAAGUGGUUGUCAUUUUAAUAACUUUUUAUUAGUUUUAAAUUGACAUUAACUCACAGCUGUUUCUUCAAAUGGUUUCUCAAAUGCUACAACCGUAACUCCGUAAUUUCUAAUCAACGACCAUAAAUAAUUGUACGUCUCAUUGAAGACUAAGUGUACUAUGUUGGCACCACGCACCCCUACAAGCCAAAUUUAUUACUCUGUCCCUGUUAUAAAACCCCAAAGUAUGAAAACGUGCUUAAAACCAAUCUAUGUACACUCUCCGGUCACAUAUAUAAGCAAAAAAUAUAUUUUAGGUUCAUUCAUUUAAUGAAUGUAUCUAGUCAGGUGUACCUAGCAGAUUAAAAUUGAAAAACGACGGAACAAGUUGCUCGAUCCCACAAAUCGAGACCCAAUCGAACCAAUCAAAUUAAAGACCCCACCAACAAAACCCAAACUAAGUGUUACACGGCAGCAACGCAGAACCUAAGAGCAUCUUUAACCAUGAUAUUCACUAAAGUAUUUACAUUUUACUUUUUACAACUCUCAAUAAUGUCACAUCAUCUACAUCAUUUUAUUAAUUUUUACUAUAACUCAACAACUUUUAAAAGUUUAUAUAAAAAAUUAUUUUAUUAAUUGUAAGUUUUAUUUAAACAUUUUACAUUAAGCAAUAAUAAAUGCAAACACAUUUUUCAUGACUAAAUUGAGUAUCUACUCUCACAUACCCUCACUAGCCAUGUUGGAAUUAAAAAUAUGCUCAAAUGGUAAUAGAUAUUGGUGGGAAUUAAUCCAUCAUGGUAAGAACCUGCAGUUCUGAAGGUAUCUACUCUCAGAUAUGAAGGUAUCUACUCUCAAAUAUGCUCCAUUGGAGAUGCUAUAAGCUAAGAGAAAAUAACAUAAAGAUAAACAACAGAAGAAGCCAUCGACAACCGCCAACGACAAUGCCUUUAGAUCCUCAGCGGUGCCUUCAGAACUGCAAACGCCCCAUCAAAGAUCUUAGGGAGAAGAAAAACACAUCCAUAGAGCUCUAUCCAAGCAGAGGACCGGCCAAUUGAAAUCACCUACAAGAACGCAGACCCGCGUCGCUCCAAAACCCCAAAGUACCAAUCCAAUGAUCAAAGAAAGGCGACGCAGUCAAAAGCUCGGAGAGGAGGUCGGGCACCACCAUCAGAAGCGAAGCGAAAGACGACCAAAUUUUACUUCAAGAGCACCACAAAACAAUCCAUCAUGGAAAGAACCUGCAAGGUAUGGCGCCAACCCACAAAAAGAGCAACAUAACAGCGAAAAAAACGUCGAUCUAGAAGCACACAUCGUCGCACUGAGCGAGGAGGGAGGAAGAGAUGUUCGUCGAAUCCGGAUUUGGUUUAGAAAAGACAACAUGACCAAGAUCUCAAAAAAAGGAAAGGAUGAUAGUAAGAGGAUGAGGAAGGCAAGGGGAGGGUGCGAGGAAAAGGGAAAAGAGAGCUAAAGGGAUGGUUGCCAUCGCGCCGGGGCGGCGCGGCAGCCACCCAAAAGAACCAGGGCGCACCGAGAGGAAGAACAUAGGUUUUAGAGAAAUGAAAAGGUUAGAGAGAGGGCUUUCGAAAACACUAAAUGAGGAGAGAUAAAAAUAAAUUUCAAAGAGUAAUUUAGGCAAACAAAUUCUUCCUAUGUCCUUAAUUAUAAGCUAACUUAAUUGAUGCAUUGGUUUUAAAAAAUAUUGUACAAUCUUCCACAUUUACCUUUAUUUAAGAUAAAAGACUUUAGUUGACUAGUAGUAGAAAAGAGAAUAAAAGUUGGUGUUAAUCAAAUUUUUUGUAAAAAGUUAACAAUAUUAAUUGUAUAUUUUAACCUGCAUAUUUUUUCUCUUUCUUAACAGUUUUUUAUUAAGCAGAGGAAGUAGUUUGUAGUAGUAUUCACAACUAUUAAGUUGCUUGCUCGAUCUGAGUUAAGGCAUGUCCACGUACCGGUUUCGGUCAGAUUUGGACUAAAAUAAUUGGUUUUAUUGGGUGAAAAACAUUAAAGUGCUAGAUCUGUCAUCGACCGGUUAGUUGCUACGAGUUGUACGAUUUUGGUUUGCACGGAUCGCGGUUUUUCCGGGUGGGUUCAUAUGGCUUUUUUUUAUCAACUAAAUUUCUAGUUGAUCACUGAACCUUCCCCUCCAAAAUUCGAAUGUGCCCAGCUCUUAGCACAUGAGUUAUCAUUCAGGGACGUGUUCAUAUGACUUGUUAAUCUAGAAACAAUUACCAAAAAAUAGAUGAAACUACGAAGUUGGCUCCACCUUGAUGAUGCAUGACAAUGACAUAAAAUAAAACUCUACUUCAAUAUAUCUCACUCAUCUAAAUGAAUGAACUCUUGGACAAAGUCUCACUAGCAUUACGGAUUCAUUCAAAUUUAUAAUUGUUAUAGAUCUCACUUUUUUUUAUAUAUAUAUAUGCAUAAAGGAAUUCUUAGAUAAAACAUCACUCCACCUUAUUAUAUCUUAAACGACAUAAUAAGUUAUAGAGUAUAUAACCAAAUGCUAAAUAAUAUAUAUAAAAUAUUAUCAGACAUUAUCAUAUCAUACAUUUCAAUUAGAUUUUAUGCCACAUGGACCUUUACCUUUUUGUACAUAUAUAUUAUUAAGUGUUCCAAGAAAGUAGUUAGGGCGGGUAACAUCAAUCAGGAAUCAGCUUGGGAGGUAUAGUGCAAAUUGGUUCUAUAAAUUGUCGAUUUAGGUUGGUAGAAAGCAAACACAUGCAAUUGAAAAAAGAGCAUCAUAUCGAUCAAUAUGUGGAGAUUAAAGAUAGGAGAAGGUGGGAAUGAUCCUUAUCUGUUCAGCACAAACAACUUCGUGGGAAGACAAACAUGGGAGUUUGUUCCUGAUGCAGGGAGUCCUGAGGAGCAUGCUCAAGUUGAAGCUGCACGUCAUAACUUCUUCAACAAUCGCUUCCAUGUCAAAGCUUGUUCUGACCUUCUAUGGCGCUUUCAAGUAUGUAUUUAACUAUUUAUUACUCGAUCGUUCGUUUUUUUUAUAAGAAUAAAACUAUUAUUUCACGUCAUUUAACAAAUAUAAUUAGUUUGUAGGAUUAAAUUUAGUUUAAAUUUAUAUUAUCUUUCCUAAAUUAUCCCAACCUAUUUUACUUAAUUUAUAGUCAUUAUUAAUGAGUUGCAGUUUUACAUGUAUAUAUAGCAUUUUUUACUUAAUCCAUGACAAAGACUUCAAUUUCACAUGUAUAUAUAGCAUUUUUAUGCUGACAUUAUAUAUUGUUAGAAUUGUAAUCAAGUCUAUCAAUUAAUUAAAAAAAAUACUUUAAAAUAAACUUUACAACAUAUGUUUGCUCAGCUGAUAAAAACAAAUCAAUUUUUCUCAAAAUGUAAUUAUGUGUUAUUUAACAUGAAAAUUAUGUUGGUAAGUAAUAUGUGAGUACAUUAGUAAAAGACCUGUAAUCUUGAAAGCAUGCCCUACCUCAAAAUGGUAAUCAAAGCUCAACCAAUCCAAAAUUUUCCAUUAAUAAAAAAAAUGCAUGCAUAUUUCCAUCGUUUGUGAAAUGCUUCAACUCGUGUAUGGUGGAGGAUAUUGCAGGUGCUAAGAGAAAAGAAGUUCCAACAAAAAAUAAGCAAGGUAAAGAUAGAGGAGGGAGAGGAGGUUACGUACGAGAAAACAACAGCUGCAUUAAAGAGGGCCACCCUCUACCUAGCUGCAUUGCAGACCAGGGAUGGCCAUUGGCCUGCUCAAAAUGCCGGAAUACUUUACUGUCUUCCUCCUUUGGUUAGUAUAUCAUUAGUAUAUACAGGUUUUGUCUCCUGUGGACAAUUAAUUCAAAUACUUAAAAAUAUAUUGUGAAUAAUAACAUUUAUUAAAUAUUAUUAGUAAAAACAUUUAGUGAACUAGCUGUGUUAAAAAUUGGUUUAUUGUGAACCAUGUUGUUUUACUACUUCACAUCGUACUAUAUACUGCUCCUUAUGGAAUAAAACUAAUGGCUUAAAUAAGUUUUUUCAUUCAUGUAACAUACUUUAUUUCUGAGAUUUUUUUUUCAUUUUUUGUCCUCCUAAAAUUAUAACUUUUGUUUUUCAUCCAUGACGCGUUCUUUUACAUCCAAAAGAGACAAAAGGGUGUGAAUGAGAAGAUGGGUACGUGAGUGAUUGGGAUAGAUGGAGCUAAAUUGUGGGAGGAAAAGAGGAACUGUGAUAUGUCAUGUUUAAAAUGAUUUCCGUUGGUUUAGAUGGAAAAGUUGCUAAUAAAGACGAAAAGCUAAAGUUGCAAUUUUGGGAUGAUGAAAAACAAAAAAAAUUCCAAAGAUGAAAACUAGAAAUUGAGUAUUUUGCAGGGACAAAAACUUAUUUAAGCCAAAAUUAAUUUAUAGAGAAAUAUUUUAACUUUUGAAUUAAAUUUUUCUUAGUCCAGUACAGAUAAAAGUCUUGUUUUAAUUCAUUAAAUUACUUAACUAUGAUGAAAUCACAAGCACAUUUUGCAAACAAUAUUUUAAACUUGUAAGGGGGAAGAAGUGGUGGAAGAUAAAGGACUAAAUUUGAUUUGAAAACAAUUGUAGGGACUAAAAAUGAUGUCAACAGUCCACAUGGUCAUCAGUUAGUUGACUAGGAUUGUCACGUGGACAAUUGACUUGGAUCUACUGCAAAUAAAAAACAUUUUUAAAGGAUCGAUUGCUAAAUGUUACAUGGACCUAAUUAGAUUCAUCUUUAAAUGUUAGGGACUAAAAACAUAUUUAAGCCAAAACAAUUUUUUUUGUACAUCGAAAAAAUAAAUUGCACCCUCCAAAGAUUGAUCAAUGGACCUCUCCCAUAAGUCCCCCUUAGCUUUUACCACUUGAGUUAUCAUUCCGAGACAAGCCAAAAUAAUUUAAUAUAAUAUAGAAGAAUUUUGAGAAAAUUCAAUUCCAAAUAUUGCACUAAUAAACCAGAAUAUAUUUUAAACUCUCACCCCCCAAAAAAUGGCAGGUAUUUUGUAUGUACAUUACAGGGCAUCUUGACUCGAUAUUCUCAAAAGAGCAUCGCAAAGAGAUGUUUCGUUACAUAUACUGUCACCAGGUACACUUGCAUGUUCAUUUUAAAAAUUGUAUCAUUUUUUUGUUGCAAAGUAAGGAAAGCACUGACCAUGUUAAUUGUACAUGUGAUAUUGAUUAUGAAUUGAUUAAGAACGAAGAUGGAGGGUGGGGAUCUCACAUAGAAGGACAUAGCACCAUGUUUGGCACUACAUUCAACUACAUAUGUAUGCGCAUUCUUGGAGAAGGGCCUAAUGGAGGUCAAGACAAUGCUUGUGCUAGAGCACGCAAGUGGAUUCAUGAUCAUGGUGGCGCGACAUAUACACCUUCCUGGGGGAAAACUUGGCUUUCGG